UGCCGGGUGGUGCAAUGGUAGUCACGCCAGGUUUUGGACCUGGAAAUGAAGGUUCGAGCCCUUCCCCGGCAG
rnacentral:tRNA from 1 species